rnacentral:rRNA from 1 species
CCUACGGUGAGCAGCAGUGAGGAAUAUUGGUCAAUGGGAGAGAUCCUGAACCAGCCAAGCCGCGUGAGGGAAGACGGCCCUAUGGGUUGUCAACCUCUUUUGUCGGAGAACAAAACCCGGGACGAGUCCCGGGCUGCGUGUAUCCGAAGAAAAAGCAUCGGCUAACUCCGUGCCAGCAGCCGCGGUAAUACGGAGGAUGAGAGCGUUAUACGGAUUGAUUGGGUUUAAAGGGUGCGUAGGCGGUCUGUUAAGUCAGCGGUAAAAUUGCGUGGCUCAAACCCGUCGAGCCGUUGAUACUGGCAGACUUGAGUUGGCGAGAAGUACGCGGAAUGCGCGGUGUAGCGGUGAAAUGCAUAGAGAGCGCGCAGAACUCCGAGUGCGAAGGCAGCGUACCGGCGCCAGACUGACGCUGAGGCACGAAAGCGUGGGGAUCGAACAGGAUUAGAUACCCCUGUAGUC